rnacentral:tRNA from 1 species
AGGGCUAUGAUGAAAUGGUAUCAUGGCGGUCUCCAAAACCGCUCGUCCAGGUUCGAAUCCUGGUAGCCCUGCCA